GACCUUUGAUUCUUUGCAACCGAACUGGAAAGCCGAAGCAGAUCGGUGCUCUGCGCCGAAGUGAUGCUAUUCUCCAGCAACAAGCGCCCUGUUUUCUCCUUAACAGAGCUUUGCUGAGGCGCUAAUGGGGAAGAUUGCCCAUCUCCGCGCUAUUCACCUCUGCCCAUUUUCUCUUGGGAAGCUUUGACGUUCCAGGGGUGGAUAUUGCAGUUUACCCGCUGCGAGCCGCACGCACAAGGGAGGGAUUGCGGCUGGAAGGAGAUUAAGGGGAAAACUCCAGGAAGAAGGAGCAGAGCGACGAGCAACAGCAACAACAAGCAAAGGAGAGAGAGAAAAAAAAAGAAGCCCAGAGAAGAGUGAAAACCAAGAAGGGCUUCCUCUGCCUUCCAGAGAGCCCCGGGGGCGGGGGGCAAAGGGAUCGGAUCUCCCCCCUCGCACCUCUGAGCAUCCCUUCGUGCCUUCCGUGUCACCCUCACGCCGCGACCCCAAAGCCGCCCUGCGGGUUUUUCCAUUCCUCCCUCUGUAGGAAGCGCGACCCUCUCUUUGAAUGCCGAUUAUAUUUUUCCCUCCGAAAGGAAAAAGAAUAAAAGCCUUUUUAUUUUUAA